ACAAUGGAGAGUUUGAUCCUGGCUCAGGAUGAACGCUAGCGGCAGGCCUAAUACAUGCAAGUCGAACGAUACUUUCCAGCUUGCUGGGGAGGAAAGUGGCGCACGGGUGCGUAACGCGUAUGCAACCUACCUUAAUCAGGGGGAUAGCCCGAAGAAAUUCGGAUUAACACCGCAUAAAAACACAGGAUAGCAUUAUCCAAUGUUCAAAUAUUUAUAGGAUUAAGAUGGGCAUGCGUGUCAUUAGCUAGUUGGCGGGGUAACGGCCCACCAAGGCGACGAUGACUAGGGGAUCUGAGAGGAUGACCCCCCACACUGGUACUGAGACACGGACCAGACUCCUACGGGAGGCAGCAGUAAGGAAUAUUGGUCAAUGGAGGCAACUCUGAAC
rnacentral:rRNA from 1 species